rnacentral:sRNA from 1 species
AUAUUGACAAUUGUUUUAGAUGAAGAUGGAUGUCGGGAAACUGUUCUUGCUUGCUGUAACACUUUUUGCUUGGUGCAACCUGUAUGUUGAUGCGGGGAUUCCUUGUAAAAACUUUGAUUCGGCCGUCAAAUUGAUCCAGGACUGUGAUCAGCCAAAUAGUACUCUACAAAACAGUACUUCACCAGCAAAUGAGUCUACUGCAGAGGCAAAUAGUGCUACGCUAUCUAGUACGCCAUAUUCUGUUGAGGAGCCUGACCGGGUGUCGCCGACUUCCCCUGGGUCACAUGCCGACCCUCCCACCAAUGGACUGACCCCACGACGCUGCAGUAUCGGUACCAUUCUGGCGGUACUGGGAGUGUGGAUCUGUCUUCGACAGGCGUGUAGUUUAUGACCGAGGAAAGUAAACAGCUUAUUUUCAAUACGGGUCUGAUCUCUAUCACCAACAUUUUACAAAAAAAUGAAAACUUAUCACCAAGUAAUUCAAAAAGCAGAUGUUGUGCAUGAUCUAUGUUUUUACGUAUAGACACUUAUUAUCAGUAAAAUACACUUUUAAAAGAUUAUACUGCUGUUUUAAAAACACAGAAUUAAUUGCCUUAAUUGUUUUUUAUGAAAUGUUUAUUACUAUAUAUAUGUACACAUGUAUAUUAAGUUAUGACGUAUUCUAUUUACAUGGCUUUGCGUUUCUUGCAAUUGUAUUUACUGAAAUGUUUUUGGUGAAGUUGCAUUUAUCAUGCAUUUAUCAUGUAUUUAUUAUGCAUUUAAUGUUGUUGUUUUUUCUGCUAAAUUUAUAAGUAUACAGCAUACAGUAGUAUGCAUUACUGAUAUUGUAUGAUCUAUUUAUUUAAAGAACGAAUUUGUUUUAAAUAUUUUAGUUUGAGAAGAGGAGUAGUUUGUGAUAAUGACAUUAGCAUGAUUAAAGUAUUUCAAAAGUACAUAAUAAAAUGCAUACAAAAUUGCAAUGCUAUCCUAGAUCCUUAUCAUGAUUAAUGACAAAUAUUACGAUACUGUCCAAGAGAUUAUUAAAAAGUGCUUGAAA